rnacentral:rRNA from 1 species
GAUGAACGCUAGCGAUAGGCCUAACACAUGCAAGUCGAGGGGCAUCACAUGAAGUAGCAAUACGGAUGGUGGCGACCGGCGCACGGGUGAGUAACACGUAUGCAACCUGCCUUCAACAAGGGGAUAACCCGUUGAAAGACGGACUAAUACCCUAUAAUACAGGGGUCCCGCAUGGGGAUAUUUGUUAAAGAUUGAUCGGUUGAAGAUGGGCAUGCGUUCCAUUAGCUGGUUGGUGAGGUAACGGCUCACCAAGGCAACGAUGGAUAGGGGAACUGAGAGGUUUAUCCCCCACACUGGUACUGAGACACGGACCAGACUCCUACGGGAGGCAGCAGUGAGGAAUAUUGGUCAAUGGACGCAAGUCUGAACCAGCCACGUCGCGUGAAGGAA